rnacentral:snRNA from 1 species
AUCGCUUCUCGGCCUUUUGGCUAAGAUCAAGUGAAGAUAUAGAAUCUUAAACCUUCUAUAGCUCAUGGGAAUACUAAAGUCAAGACCAUAUUUUUCCCUAAGAACCUUAAUAAUCAAGUUUAGUAUGUACAGUUUCUAUCCCUA